GUGGUUAGGGGGAGCUUUUCGGUCUGUGCCCAGCUGGGAGUCCAUUGUUUCGCGAUCCGUCCCUGGCAUAAUCUCCUCAGAAAUUCACCUUGUUUGUUUUUAAGUUUAUGCUCUGUGGUAAACAGGGAAGGAUUUUAUUUCCGUGAGAUUUUCACGUUUGGUGCACGUUUUAGGAGGAGAGCGGCAAUGAAUGGACACUCAGAGGCGAGUAAAGCCGAGUGAAACCGAAAUAAUUUUUUUAAAAUCCUACUGACCAACCGACCUGUAUGUGUGUUUUCACCACGGAGGCAGAAAGAAGCGUGACUGCGAAGGGGGGAGAGACGCAACAACUCCAUGCCUGCCACGGCUCCUUCUCCUUCUUAUGCUCGCAAAUUAACUUAAAAGCGGCGCAUUUUACAGACAAGGAGGGAAACAACAUUUCUUCUCUCCGUCAUUUUUCCUCUCUCUCUUUUAUUUUGUUGGCAGCGACGCCGAACACUUGAGCGAGGCGGACGUUAACCCGUUAGCGGCAGCAGCGAACCGGAGCUGCCACGAAUAGAUCCACAGUAGAUCUACGACCCCCCACCCCGGUGUCGGCUGACCGGGAUAGGACCUCGUGCUUCUCCGGAGGUGGACUCCUCUAUCUUUCCCACCUGUGUUUUUUUUUUCUUUUCAAUUUCUGUCUUUUCACACGCUCGGUUCUAACUCCUCUGUUUGGUGGUUGUUAAUUACAUGAAGUGGAUUGGUUCAAACUAGUGAAGACGGGACUAAACGCGGCGCUUCUUCAGAUAAGGAGAGAAAUGCAAACGGCGGCGACAAAGAGGAGAUUCAAAACGGAGCGCGUGUGAUAUCAUAUGUCCUCCGAGUGGUCCACACAUAUAACAAAAGGGUGGGAUACAGCAGAUGCUAAUUCUCUCCACUCCAGUCUUGUUUUUCAAGAGGAAGUUGAAUGGAUUGGUCACACUUUGCACAAGCUCGUUUGGUGCAGACACGGCUGACGGUUUUGAAAGAACAGGCCUAAGGGAAUGCAGCUCUCACGUCUGAUGUCAUAUCUUCCUGGUCCAGCACUUGUUCUUUUGGAGCUCUGUCGAACCAAUCCCGCUCCCCACACUUACCAAACCCUCAGGCCCCACUUUGAUCUCCCUUAACAACCAGGACAGCAGUUCAAGCAUCUUGUUAUAUUUGACUGUUUAAUCCAUCAAAUGUGUUUGUCUCAGCACUGGGCUAAUGAAACAUCUCUAUUUAGGCCUUUGCCACUGAUGAAUGAGUCUUGUGAUGGUGGGGUGAUGUAAAAAAGA